rnacentral:lncRNA from 1 species
AUGGAUGUGACUUGGAGAGCACGGCCAGGUUCCACCCAGGGAGGGCUUACUCAGCACUUCUCCUUGGCACUGGAAGGUAGGGUCAAAUGUUGGAGAAAAGAAACAAAGCGCACCGAGAGCUGUGUGCAGAGCCUUCACAAAGUAGCUGUGAAAUACCUCGACCUCACUUGCUUACGAGAUGUGCAAAGUCUUCUAAAGUUAGCAUGGAGAACUCAGCAGUUUCAGCAUUACUGAUUUGUGAAUGUUACUACCUGAAAUGAUAGUAUUCAAGCAGAAGGUUGGAUUUGUGAUUGCUUCUCUGACAAAUACUGAAUUCUCUGUGACCGACUCUGAUGUUUAGCUCACGCUGUCAGAAUUAAAUGUAUAACUAAUAAGGAAGAGGAAAGCAACCAACUUUAUUCAGAUAGAUUUGGAUCUCUUAAAUGGCUGGCCCACUAAGUGGAAAAUACUAUUCAGUGUUUAACGUAGAGAAAUGUGAAAUAAUCGAUGUGUAGGCAAUGAACCGAAGUGAAGAGUGUAUAUACAGUGGAACAGCUAUGCAGUAUAAUGACAAGGAAAGGAUUUAAAGGUUGUUAUAAACAAAUCCAUGAAGAUAUUAGCGUGGUCUGUUUGCAGGAAAAAAAACCAACGUGAAAUGGAGCUGCACAAAUGAGCAGAAUACAAAUGACAACAAGGAAUAUUA